AAUUACAAGUCCAAAUCGAAAAGAAAAUAAAAUAAAAACAAGGCGCAUAAGGCGCAAUCGGAGGCUCGUGCGAAUAUGGAGGACCUGGCGCGAAAUUCCCCGUUUUAAGCAAAUGGGCAUGGAUCUGGCCUGCUAAAUGGGUCAGCGCGCGGAUCCUUGCCCAUUGAACGGCGCCGUUUCAAAUUUGACAAAGUCAGGUUAAAGAAAACCCUAAAACUAGUUGUACACUAUUCAAAGGCAGAUCAAAACAACAACAAACAAAAAAAAUCUAAAGCCUAGCCUCCUGCUCAUUCGGCCAAACUCUAGGUCCUUUCAUCUGCCGGUCGACCUUCCUAUUUGAUCGACGGUCAUCAUGCAAAAGGCCAGAUCCGGCCCCGUCCGACCGUGAGUCCAAAGGUCCGCUCACCAGCCUCUGAAUCCUCCACCAAAAACUCCGAUUGCAACAAAGUGAGCGAGGAUUCAAAGGAACCUAAGACGGAGGUACGAGACGUGCUGUCGUUCGGGUACAGGAGUUGGCGUACGGGCUCUCGCGUGGCUGCAAAAACGCCGGAGCGUACCAGGGCGGUGGAGGCUGAAUGGUUGCGGCGCAUCUGCUGAUAGGGCUAGGGUUUGGCCAGAUUUGUUUAGCAUUUGGGCCGUUUGGGUUCAAUUCGAGUAUUGGGUCAGUCCUUGGGCCGUGGGGUUUUAGUUAUUGGGUCUAGGGUCAUGUAUUUAAUUUUAGGUUUUGGACUGUAAAAAGGAUUGUUUAUAAAUGGGCUGAUAGACUGUUAUCAUUUUAUUUGUUUUAUGUUUAUGGUUUUUGGUUGUUGGGCCCGGGCAGAUUUGGGUCCUUACACAUGUCUCAAUAUUCUUAUUGGUCAUGGUUGUUUUAAUAACAAUAAUUUCUUAAAAGAACUUUUAUAAAA